rnacentral:rRNA from 1 species
UACGUAGGGCGCAAGCGUUGUCCGGAAUUAUUGGGCGUAAAGAGCUCGUAGGCGGCUUGUCACGUCGGAUGUGAAAGCCCGGGGCUUAACCCCGGGUCUGCAUUCGAUACGGGCAGGCUAGAGUGUGGUAGGGGAGAUCGGAAUUCCUGGUGUAGCGGUGAAAUGCGCAGAUAUCUGGAGGAACACCGGUGGCGAAGGCGGAUCUCUGGGCCAUUACUGACGCUGAGGAGCGAAAGCGUGGGGAGCGAACAGG